AUACGGAGGAUCCGAGCGUUAUCCGGAUUUAUUGGGUUUAAAGGGUGCGCAGGCGGCCAUUUAAGUCAGCGGUUAAAUCGUGGGGCUCAACCCCAUUCUGCCGUUGAUACUGGGAGGCUUGAUUGCGGUCGAGGUUGGCGGAAUUCGUUGUGUAGCGGUGAAAUGCAUAGAUAUGACGAAGAACACCGAUUGCGUAGGCAGCUGACCAGACCGCAAAUGACGCUCAUGCACGAAAGUGCGGGGAUCGAACAGGAUUAGAUACCCUGGUAGUCCGCACAGUAAACGAUGAAUACUUGUUUUCGGCGAUAUAAUGUCGGAGGCAAAGCGAAAGCGAUAAGUAUUCCACCUGGGGAGUACGCCGGCAACGGUGAAACUCAAAGGAAUUGACGGGG
rnacentral:rRNA from 1 species